rnacentral:rRNA from 1 species
CUACGUGCCAGCAGCCGCGGUAAUACGGAGGAUACGAGCGUUAUCCGGAAUUAUUGGGUUUAAAGGGUGCGUAGGUGGCGUAUUAAGUCAGUGGUGAAAAGCUGCAGCUCAACUGUAGUCUUGCCGUUGAAACUGAUAUGCUAGAGAGGAGACGAGGUAUGCGGAAUGUGUGGUGUAGCGGUGAAAUGCAUAGAUAUCACACAGAACGCCGAUUGCGAAGGCAGCGUACCAGGCUCCGUCUGACACUGAAGCACGAAAGCGUGGGGAUCAAACAGGAUUAGAUACCCUGGUAGUCCACGCAGUAAACGAUGAAUACUAGAUUUUUGCGAUAUAGUGUAAGAGUCUAAGCGAAAGCGAUAAGUAUUCCACCUGGGGAGUACGCCGGCAACGGUGAAACUCAAAGGAAUUGACGGGGGCCCGCACAAGCGGAGGAACAUGUGGUUUAAUUCGAUGAUACGCGAGGAACCUUACCCGGGAUUGAA